rnacentral:rRNA from 1 species
CGUAACACGUACACAAUCUACCUUAUACUGGAGCAUAACCGUACGGAAACUGAGCUAAUUCUCAUAACAUAAUAAAAGGCAUUCUUUUGAUAUUAAAACUCCGGUGGUAUAAGAUGAGUGUGCGUCUGAUUAGCUAGUUGGUGGGGUAACGGCUCACCAAGGCAACGAUCAGUAGCUGGUCUGAGAGGAUGAUCAGCCACACGGGCACUGAGACACGGGCCCGACUCCUACGGGAGGCAGCAGUAGGGAAUAUUGGACAAUGGGCGCAAGCCUGAUCCAGCCAUCCCGCGUGAAGGAUUAAGGCCCUCUGGGUUGUAAACUUCUUUUCUUUGGGAAUAAAAACUCCGUUUCUACGGAGCUUGAAGGUACCAGAGGAAUAAGCACCGGCUAACUCCGUG